rnacentral:rRNA from 1 species
GGGUAGUCCUAGCCGUAAACGAUGCCCACUAGGUGUGAGCGGUAGUACCGUUCGUGCUGAAGCUAAGGCGAUAAGUGGGCCGCCUGGGGAGUACGUCCGCAAGGAUGAAACUCAAAGGAAUUGACGGGGACCCGCACAAGCGGUGGAGCGUGUGGUUUAAUUCGAAGCUAAGCGAAGGACCUUACCAGGGCUUGACAUGCGGGUGGUACCUUUCAGAGAUGAAAGGGACCUUAAACUUCGGUUUAAGGAGCCUGCACAGGUGGUGCACGGCCGUCGUCAGCUCGUGCCGUGAGGUGUUGGGUUAAGUCCCGCAACGAGCGCAACCCUUGUCGUUAGUUACCAGCACGUGAAGGUGGGGACUCUAACGAGACAGCCGCCGACGAGGCGGAGGAAGGAGGGGAUGACGUCAGGUAAUCGUGCCCCUUAUGUCCUGGGCGACACACGCGCUACAAUGGCAGGGACAGAGGGGCAGCGAGACCGAGAGGUUAAGCGAAUCCCAGAAACCCUGCCCCAGUUCAGAUUGCAGUCUGAAACCCGACUGC